AGAAGAGAGGAAGAGGAAGGAGGCCUUACCACAGCCUCCGAUGACCCCCACCGGCGUGAAAUCGCGGCGAGCACAGGUCGAGGGGCCGCGGCUUCAAUCGAAAAAAUCAAAGAAAAACUCCGAUGAUCAUCGGUGACUGAUGGAUCUACUCUUAGAGGAGAGGAGGGGGGUUCUUAUAGAGCUCGUCCUAGGGUCUUUUAAUGGCCCUA
rnacentral:lncRNA from 1 species